GUGUUGCACGACAAGUUAGCAUCCCCCUUGACAAGAAUGGAAAGGGCCCUUGGGCCAGACAACACACCUAAUUCAGAUGCUGAUGCCCACAACUUGAAAGUCAGAUAA
rnacentral:ncRNA from 1 species